rnacentral:rRNA from 1 species
UACAUGUGGGGCAAGCGUUGUUCGGAAUUACUGGGCAUAAAGGGUGCGUAGGUGGUUUGUUAAGUCACGGGUGAAAGUUUUCGGCCCAACCGGAAAAUUGCCCGUGAUACUGGCGAACUUGAGUGCGUGAGGGGUAACCGGAACGAGCAGUGUAGCGGUGAAAUGCGUAGAUAUUGCUCGGAAGGCCAGAGGCGAAGGCGGGUUACUGGUGCGCAACUGACACUGAGGCACGAAAGCGUGGGGGAGCAAACAGG